rnacentral:rRNA from 1 species
GACGUAGGGCGCGAGCGUUGUCCGGAUUUAUUGGGCGUAAAGAGCUCGUAGGCGGCUUGUUGCGUCGGCUGUGAAAUCUCGUGGCUUAACUGCGGGCUUGCAGCUGAUACGGGCGGGCUAGAGUUCGGUAGGGGAGACUGGAAUUCCUGGUGUAGCGGUGAAAUGCGCAGAUAUCAGGAGGAACACCCGUAGCGAAGGCGGCACUCUGGGCCGAUACUGACACUGAGGAGCGAAAGCGUGGGGAGCGAACAGG